AAUCCGUUGAUAUCAUGGGGAACACCAAAUGCGAAAGCAGCACACUGGUCUUUUAUUGACGCUGAGGCACGAAAGCGUGGGUAGCGAAUGGGAUUAGAUACCCCAGUAGUCCACGCCCUAAACGAUGAUCACUUGUUUUCCGGAGUAUCGACCCUCUGGGAGACGAAGCUAACGCGUUAAGUGAUCCGCCUGGGAAGUACGAUCGCAAGAUUAAAACUCAAAGGAAUAGACGGGGACUCGCACAAGCAGUGGAUUAUGUGGUUUAAUUCGAUGGUAACCGAAAAACCUCACCAGGGUUAGAAAUUCAGGGGAAGAAUACAGAAAUGUAAACGUCCGCAAGGACUCCUGAACAGGUGAUGCAUGGCCGUCGUCAGCUCGUGGCUUGAGCUGUUCCCUUAAGUGGGGAAACGAGCGCAACCCUCGUCGUGUGUUACAAGUGUCACACGAGACCGCCCAGUACUUUGCACAUAAAUGCAAAGACUAGCGGGAGAGUUAUGUUUAUGACGACACCAAAACAUCUACUAACUAGUAGAAAAGUAUUAAGAAGAGAUUGAUGAAAUCUGAAAUCAUGACUCUUUCAAAACGGUAUUUGAUUCAUUCGUGGAUAAAGUACUGGGAGGAAGGAGAGGAUGACGCCAGGUCAGCAUGUCCCUCUGAUACCCUGGGCUACACACAUAAUACAAUCGUCACUACAGUAGGCUGCAAUACCGUAAGGUGGAGCCAAUCCUAAAAAGUGGCGUCAGUUCGGAUAGAGGUCUGCAACUCGACCUCUUGAAGCUGGAAUUGCUAGUAAUCGCAGGUCAGCAAACUGCGGUGAAUACGUUCUCGAGUCUUGUACUCACCGCCCGUCAACUCAAGGGAGCCGGUAGUACCCGAAAGCUCACAGUAGUGGGACUACGGUAAGAUCGGUGACAGGGAGUAAGUCGUAACAAGGCACGGGUAGCGGAAGCUGCUCGUGGAUUACUUCAAAU
rnacentral:rRNA from 1 species